rnacentral:lncRNA from 1 species
AAUAGUUUAUCUAAAACAAAACUUUAGGGAUUUGAUCUAGUGGUUAAAAGAUAGAUUUUGACCUUGAAAGUUUGGAUUUGAGUUUUGUGUGUUCUUAAAGAAACAUAAAUAUAAAUUAUUUUGUAAGUGUUCUUUGAGUUUCAAGAUCCUUUCUAUCUUGGAUUAGGACAUCAUCUCCUUUUAAAAUACAUAUAAAUUAUACAUAAACUCUCACAAUAACACGUUGAUUCUUACGGAAAAUGGGACGGAAAUCUUUGGGAUUUGAAAACUUUCAAACCACAGAUAAUCAUAUUAACAUCAAGAAUGUAGGAAAAGUUAAAGGGUCAUGUUAACCAGUGGUCCCAUGCACUGGUUAAGGAAGCCAAAAGAAGAAAUUGCAAAUCAAAAAAGACAAUUUUUAGAUUUUUAAUGCAUUGAUUACACAUCUUUCAGUACAAAAAUUACUAUAUUUAUUUACUCCCUUAACCAGAAGUUAAAAUAUAGGUAACUUUGAAUUACUUCCUUUAUUUCACCAGUCGUGUUUUGAAUUACUCCAGGCACGGAUGCAGGUAGUGGGGUUUGGGGUCAGCUGACCCCACUCUUAGCUUCAUAUUUCAACCAAUAAUAGGGAUUUUUAACACUUUGCCUCCACUUGAUAUUUUAUGUUGACCCCACACUAUGUAUAAGUUGUAGUAUUACCAUGCAUAAAAAUCAAGAGUGAGAAACAAUUUCAAGAGUUUAAUAACAUAUUUAUGGAG